AAGGGUUACCCGCCCCGGGGAUUGGGACACGGCCCAGAUUCUUACGGGGAGGCAGCAGUGGGGAAUAUUGCCCCAAUGGGCGAAGCCUGAUGCAGGGACGCCGCUUGAGGGAUGACGGCCUUUCGGGUUGUAAACCUCUUUUCAGUAGGGAAGAAGCGAAAGUGACGGUACCUGCAGAAGAAGCACCGGCUAAAUACGUGCCAGCAGCCGCGGUAAUACGUAGGGUGCGAGCGUUAUCCGGAAUUAUUGGGCGUAAAGAGCUCGUAGGCGGUUUGUCGCGUCUGUCGUGAAAGUCCGGGGCUUAACCCCGGAUCUGCGGUGGGUACGGGCAGACUAGAGUGCAGUAGGGGAGACUGGAAUUCCUGGUGUAGCGGUGGAAUGCGCAGAUAUCAGGAGGAACACCGAUGGCGAAGGCAGGUCUCUGGGCUGUAACUGACGCUGAGGAGCGAAAGCAUGGGGAGCGAACAGGAUUAGAUACCCUGGUAGUCCAUGCCGUAAACGUUGGGCACUAGGUGUGGGGACCAUUCCACGGUUUCCGCGCCGCAGCUAACGCAUUAAGUGCCCCGCCUGGGGAGUACGGCCGCAAGGCUAAAACUCAAAGGAAUUGACGGGGGCCCGCACAAGCGGCGGAGCAUGCGGAUUAAUUCGAUGCAACGCGAAGAACCUUACCAAGGCUUGACAUGUUCUCGAUCGCCGUAGAGAUACGGUUUCCCCUUUGGGGCGGGUUCACAGGUGGUGCAUGGUUGUCGUCAGCUCGUGUCGUGAGAUGUUGGGUUAAGUCCCGCAACGAGCGCAACCCUCGUUCCAUGUUGCCAGCACGUAAUGGUGGGGACUCAUGGGAGACUGCCGGGGUCAACUCGGAGGAAGGUGAGGACGACGUCAAAUCAUCAUGCCCCUUAUGUCUUGGGCUUCACGCAUGCUACAAUGGCCGGUACAAUGGGUUGCGAUACUGUGAGGUGGAGCUAAUCCCAAAAAGCCGGUCUCAGUUCGGAUUGGGGUCUGCAACUCGACCCCAUGAAGUCGGAGUCGCUAGUAAUCGCAGAUCAGCAACGCUGCGGUGAAUACGUUCCCGGGCCUUGUACACACCGCCCGUCAAGUCACGAAAGUCGGUAACACCCGAAGCCGGUGGCCUAACCCUUGUGGGGGAGCCGUCG
rnacentral:rRNA from 1 species